AGAAGUUAGGACCACUUAGGCCGCCAGAAACGACUCCAUGGCCUCUAGGCGGCCCUCCCUCAAGGGGCCAUGAGAGAGCCAAUCGAAGGAGGACUGCUCUGGCGGCCAACCAAUCAGCACCAAGGAUUGCCGUUGAGGCGGGCCCGCGAGGGAAGUCGCCAGAGAGGCGAGGGCCCAGAAGGCUAGGGCCCAGGGGCUUUCCUCCGCGGAAGUGGUCCCGACCCUCUGCGAGUGGAUUGGCUGCUCCGGCUUACCGGAAGUGCCGCUCACGCCCCUGCUCUUCUGCGCUUGCGCAGCCGUUUCCCCUGUAAUACGCGCGUCUCCGGUUAGUUUUUUGCCGGCGUCUUAGUCCAUUUGUUUGGCUCUUUGUGCUGCGCCAUGUGGUCGUGUUGGUGGCGGUGUUCAGUAACCGGGACCUUGGAGGCUGGGAGGGAUAGCUGAUGUGCAGGGCCAGCACUGGGGGCGAGCUCAGGGCCGGCAGGGAUGGGCUCGAGGAGUGAGGCCCGCAACCCUGCAGAGGGCGUUUCCUGUUGACUCACUCCUUGCUGGGGUGAGACAGUUGUUAGGGUUAGGUUUGCAUUUCAGAACGUUCUGGUAAGGGCUUUGUAGCAGGGUGAGAAUGAAGACCUGUGCAAGAGAAGAAGCCAUAAGGGUUCAAGAUGCCAGGCGAAGCCACUUGUUAUCAACCUUUGCUCGUUCCGCACCUGGGAGAACUCGAGUGGUUUCCUCCUACUGCACACGUCACCUCUUAGCACCCUGGUGCAACUCCUAUUCAUGCUUCCCCAUACCAGACUUCUCAGCUCUUGGGCACCUCCCUUUCAUAUCCUGCAGGCACUUCACAUAAAUUUUCCGUUCCCCCACCAUUUCUAACCUUUCAGAAUUUCUCAUUUCAGGUCGGUCUCUUUCCCACGCGGUAGCACAGGCCACCACUAAGCACAGUCAUAUGGAGAUACCUGUUGAAAUGUGCGCCAGCCCCUCAGGCUAUGACAUCCUCGAGGACAUGGACAGUGCUCCAAAAUCACAGCGCUCAGCAUACAGUCUGACUUGAUCCAAGGGAAGUUAGGCAAACUGCUUCCCUGUCCCCCCACAGUCAGAGCCCAUCCUUCUAGUUUCUCCAUAUCUCACGUAUUCAAUCUUUUCUCCCUAUCCAAAUUCUCAUCCUCUCUCCAAAGGACCACUGUGAGCCAUUUCCCCUGUCCAGUUCAACAGCUGCCUGACCUGGAAAACCACUUUUCCUGUUCACCUGCCUCCGGAGGCCCACCUUUCCCAAGCCCUACAUCACAGCCUCUGAGAUUUGGCUGCUCCUUCCUGGAAACUCGUCUCUCUGACCUCUCUCCUCAGCUGGAGACCACCUGCCACCUUUCUCCACAUGGAUGCCUCAUAGGCUGCUAAAACUUGACAUUUCCUAGAAUAAAUACUUGGUUUCUGCUUUAAACCAGUCCACCUACUCUCUGUGCUCCAUCCAAGUGGUAAGUCCAAAGGCCUGAGCAUCAUCCUAGACUUCAUUCGUCUCCAAAUCCCCAUAUCCAAUCAUUAAACUAUUCUUGUCCAUUCAGCCUGCUAAACAGCUCUGUGACUCGCCCUUUGCUAUCCUCUGACAUACAUGAAGUAUAGUACAAGCUUUGGCAUUCAAGGCCCCGCUUGAAUCCCUUUUUGGGCAUUCUCCCUCAGCCCUUGUGCCGAACCUUAGAAUCUUUUAGUUUCCCCAAGACCUCUCAAAAGCUUAAGCUCCUGCUAUUUCAUUCCUGGGCCAGUCUCCCAUUCCCAUAUUUAUGUAAUAAAGUAGUCUUUGGA